rnacentral:rRNA from 1 species
AUUGAACGCUGGCGGCAUGCUUUACACAUGCAAGUCGAACGGUAACAGGUUAAGCUAACGAGUGGCGAACGGGUGAGUAAUGCAUCGGAACGUGCCCGGUCGUGGGGGAUAACGCAGCGAAAGCUGCGCUAAUACCGCAUACGAUCUGAGGAUGAAAGCGGGGGACCGUAAGGCCUCGCGCGAUCGGAGCGGCCGAUGUCAGAUUAGAUGGUUGGUGGGGUAAAGGCUCACCAAGCCAACGAUCUGUAGCUGGUCUGAGAGGACGACCAGCCACACUGGGACUGAGACACGGCCCAGACUCCUACGGGAGGCAGCAGUGGGGAAUUUUGGACAAUGGGCGAAAGCCUGAUCCAGCAAUGCCGCGUGCAGGAAGAAGGCCUUCGGGUUGUAAACUGCUUUUGUACGGAGCGAAAAGGUCUCCUCUAAUACAGGGGGCUCAUGACGGUACCGUAAGAAUAAGCACCGGCUAACUACGUGCCAGCCGCCGCCGUAA